rnacentral:lncRNA from 1 species
CCAGCAGCAGCCAAGGAAUCGAUAGCCUUUAAAUAAGUAAUUAGGGGAGCCGAAGACGUCGGCACAUCCAGGAGUGAGCAGGGGAACAUAAAUUCAUGACUCCCAGGCUCACUGGGCAAGGGCCUGGUUCUGUUUCUCGGUCAAGAAAUGUGACAGCGCCUGGGGGCAAUGAUGGUGGAGGAACAGGGAGCCAGUGUUGUAGAGUCUGUUUUCACUUUCCUGUCCUCUGUUUCUGGUGGCUUUUAGGAUAAGGAUCAAAAUCUUCUCCCAACCUAGAGAGGUAAAUCUGGAGCUGAAGCUGGCUCCGGUACAAUGUCAGCUUGUUUAUUCACUGGUUGUGUGACCUGAGACACACACCCUCUCUGUGCUCAGUUUCCCUAGCUGUAAAACGCCCCACCCCCACCCCCCAGCCCCCAAAUAAGGUCAUCAUGAGGUUUACAGACGUUCGUACCACAUGCAAAGCAUGCAGAGCAGUGUGGGCCGUGGUUAGCAUCCAGGGGCCUUUGUGACUAAGUCCCAACCCGAGGCUACAGCCUCGUGGGUGCUGCGCUCCCCAAGAAAGGGGUGAAGGGCCAUCGCAGGUGCCCGGGAAGCAAUCAUCUGCCGUUUUUCCCGUCCUCCUGCACCACCAUCACCCCCCCACCACCACCAGCCCCGCAGAAGUCGCAGAAAACAGCCAACAAGGGUGGCCGUUGAGUCCCACGGGGAUCACAAGGUUAUAAGAACAAAGGCUGCCACUUCCUCUCUCCCUGCGGUGCUGCCUGUGUGUGGACACCAUCUGAUGAGAAUGUAAUUCCUUUUAUGAUCCAGGAAGGUAUAAAAACGCAUAUAAACAACCACAUGUCAUCACUGGAGUUGGCCAUCACAUUUUUAUUGGUCUACAGCGUGUGUUUUUGUUAGCCUGACGUCUGUUAGAAACCAGGUUCUGAAACACUGUCCUCGUUUGGGUGCUGGAGACAAAUAGUAUCCAGAAGCCAUUCCCAGGCCUGGUCUCAGGGAAACAGUCCCCAGAGCAGGAGGGUGUGUGUGUGUGUGCGUGUGCAUGUGCGUGCGCGUGCAUGCUUGCUCCUCCCUGGAGGUUCCCUGGUCCAGGCUCAGUGGAGGAAUCGGAGGCCCAGGGCAAGGCAGUGCUCUGUCCAGGAUCAUGGGACUGCUUGGUUCAGCACCAUUUUCUGAGCAUGUCAGGGAGCCCCAGCUGCUGCUGGAGCCAGCCCCCCAGUCUCAGGGGUGCCACGGAGCUGUCCUUCUAGCUUGUGUGGCAGACAGCGUGGUGGAUGAUGGGUGGAUGGGCCUCCCUGCUUCGUGUGGCUCCACCCUCCUCUAAAGCCUCAGACUCUUCUGCUUCCAGCUGAAUGGGGGAAGGAUCCGGAGGCUCGCAAGGUUUUACGGAUUUUUACGGAGAUGUUUAGGUAGGGCCUGGAAGUGGCUCAGCCACAUCUGUCCACAUCCCUCAGCGGAUCACUAGGUCAUGGUCGAUACCAAACUGCAAGGGAGGCUAGGAAAUGUAGCCCAGCUGGGUGCCUGCGAGGAAGACGAGGCAGACUGGUCUCAGUGCCCAGCCCCGAGCUGGAAGCUGCCUGGGCAGAGAUGCUGAGAUGGAGAUGCAGGCCCAUCAGUUUGAGGUUCCCAAUAAGGGCUGGUCUAGCAUGUUAUCAAUCGCUAGAAGCCCAUGACUCCUCUCUAGAGAGACCUCACCCCAGGAUAAGCCUAAGGCUCCCGGGGUCCUUGCUACCUCGCGCCAAGUGGUGUCAGCCACCCUUGUUUCUAAAGGGUUGCAGAGAAGUGGGGAGGCUGGGUUCAUUUCCUGAAAGGCCCUAUUCUCUGCCUCAGGCCAGCAGAAUUUCCUUUCAGGGGGAGGCAGGGGCCUCUCUCCCCAGGGUUACCUGUCACCUCACACCCCCACAGGGCUGGGCUCUCAACAAAACAGCCCUGGAGGGAGGACCAGCACCUCAGUUCACACACACACACACACUCACGCAUACACACAAAUGCGCCCAUGCACACACACAUCUCAGAACCAGCUAUAGCCGACAUCUGCUGCUUUGGUUAACCAGUAUCUGUUUGGGGGAUCCCAAGGUCUGUUUGGAGGACCCCCCUCCCACCACAGACAUGGACUGCAGCACGUAUUCUGCACCCCCACCAACUAGAAUGUGGACAUGGGGCCUAAAGUGUGGCCAACUGGACACGCCCUCCUGGGACUUCCACUCCAUAGGGUGACACAGAGGCCUGGCACCCAUCAGACCUUUAAAGGGCGCUGCAGCCGAAGGGCACCUCUCCAGCUGCCAGCAGGGGCCAUGAUGACCAGCUGGCAGGUGGCAGGCUCUGGCGUGGCACCUUGGCUGGGCCUUCACGCUCGGGUUCCCGUCAAGCCUGUUUCUCCAGUCCCCUGUCAACUGCCUGCGCCACCUGAAGCUCUCCCAGACACCUCUUUCAGGUGAGCCCCGCCUCCUGCAUCCUUGGCCUUGCACCUGCUCACCCACCCCCUCCCGCCAAGGAUUUCCUUGGCUGCCGGCUUCAGCCGGGCUGUCCCAGACCCCAGGCAAGUCUGACAGCUUCCACCCUCCAGGGAAAGGCCAGGGUUCCCACCUCUUUCCUCCAGGGGAUUCUGCAGCAAAUUUCAAAUUAAGUUGCGUUUUCACACUCCUGCAGAGUUCAGCGUUCUCAGGAGGGCUGUGGUAGAACCAAGGUAAUUGCCAUUCUUAGUAAUCCCAUGUGCACCUCAAAGCAUUCUUCUGAGAAGAAGCCCACCCUCCACUUGAUGCCCAAGGGGUCCAGGACAGCAGGACCCCUCUGGACUGUAGCCCCCAGGCUGCUGGUGCCAGGAUUCCUUACUCAACAACAUGGGCCCUUUGCCUGUUGAGAGCCCCCUUGCUUGACCCAUCCUCCCUGCACUGUUCCUUCUGGAAAAAGAUCCCUACUUUCUUUGGGGGGCCAGCUCCUCUCUCCACCCUACAGAAGUAGGUGGGCCCUGUAGGAGUUUUCACAUUGUCACAUGCCCUCACUCUCUCAGUUCAGCCAAUUCAGGAGGAGUGGGCUCCUGACCCAAACCUGGCCAAUCAGCUCCUUCUCUGUGGUGGUGGUGGUUGUUGUUUUAAACUGGAACUAGGAGUUCCCAUUGCAGCUCAGAGGAUUAAGAACUCGACAUAGUGUCUAUGAGGACACAGGUGUGAUCCCUGGCCUCACUCAGUGGGUUAAGGAUCCAGUGUUGCUGUGAGCUGCGCUGUAGGCCACAGCUGUGGCUCGGAGCUGGCAUUCCUGAGGCUGUGGCAUAGUCUGGCAGUUGUAGCUCCAAUUUGAUCCCUGGCCCAGGCACUUCCAUAUGCCACAGGUGUGGCCGUAAAAAGAAAAAAGAAAAAGAAAAA